rnacentral:lncRNA from 1 species
CUAGCUGCUAUCAUCCAAAGCCCUCUUCGUCCCAUUUGGGAGUACCCUCCCUUUCUCUGCGAUUCCACCUCUCUCCCUCUCCUCCUCCUCCUCCUCCUCCGAUGGUGCCUCGGCUCCCUCUUCUUCUCACGCGCUGCUGUGCUCUAAGUGCUCUUUCCGACAACCCUUGCUGCUCUACCCCUUCGCCGUUGUUGAUCCCCUGCCCAACCACUAGGCUUCGCCUACUGCCGCGCCUACCUCUGCCGCCUCCGCCUCUGCUGCCGACUCCGCCCCCCGGCUUCCGCACCCCCUCUCCUCUUCCUUGUUGCUCCCAACCUCGUCCUCCUCCUCUGGGGCCCACUCUGCAUCCGCCACUACCGCCACCCCCAAAACCCUAAAAACGAAAAAAAAAAAACAAAAAAAGGUAAAAAGUGGAGAAAUGCUCCCUCUACUAUCCCCACUACCACAGUUUCUUCUUUUGCUUUCCACUCAAACUUUUUGCAUGUACUGUAAUUUAUAGCUUCUAACAAGCAAAGAAUAUAAUUAGUAGUGGGAACAAAAAAAUAAUUUGGUCUUUUCCUAUUUUAUUAGGGUUUUUAACUAUACCAUUGGCAUUUGGUCCCUCAUUGCUGGUGAUCUUUGCCUGAGCCAAAGAUAAACCACACAAAGAAAACUAUCAGCCGGCAAGUGAGCAUUCCAUGCUAUGUGAUGCCGAGGUCACCCUCAUUUUCUUCUCCUUUUUUGCAUAGUAUCUCUAUGCUUCUCUAUCUUUUAUUCCUUUUUGAAUGUGAAGGCAUGGUGUAGGGAAUUGGAAAUUUAUCAAGCAAUGCCAUCCUUCAUUAUUCAAAGAGAGAACAGAGGUAUUAAGUCAUUUCUAUUGUCCAAUUAAUUUGUUCUUUAUACAUAGCUUUGACUAAUAAUGGAUGGUGCAUGGGGAUCAAGAUUGGAUGCAAGAACAUAUUGGGAUCUACUAAUUUGACUGUGAAAUCUUUUGAGUCUCAACACAUCGGGAUAAAAAAAAUGUGAUGCUGCCUCGAACUUUUAGAAGAUUGUAAUUUGAUUCUGGAACUUCAAUGCUUCAUAAUUAGGCUGCGAUUGCAUGAUUUAUGGACCUUAGGUUCUUUAUUUCAUAAUUAGGUAUUUCAUAAAUAGGCUGCGAUUGUAUGAUUUAUGAAUCCAAGUCUCUUUAGCAGCGAAAUCUUCAAACUUGAACUGAUUCUCUACCCCCUUUUGCUGCACUACAACAAAAUUAGUAUUUAGUGGCAAUUUAAUUAAUAGCGGCGAUUAUCCAACCGCCACUAUUACUUAUUAUCUAAUUGUACUUUAGCAGCAAUUAUUUUAAAAUAUAUAUCUUUACCAACUAAUAUUUAUAUAUCAAAUAUAUUUACAUUGAACCCCAAUACAACCUUAACCCUAACCCACAACAGAACCUAACCCACACCCCUCUCCUGCAUCGACCUCACAUGAGCACCCCCACCUUCAACCCCUUCUCUCCCUCAACCCCUCCUCUCCGAGCUCGAGCUCCUUCACCUCUACUCAUCCCCUCCUUCCUCAUCCUCUGCGUCCUCUCCAAGCUCCGAUCCUCGACUCGGCGAUCCCCAAAUCUCCCUUGCUAUCUUCCCCGACCUACUCGGCCCCGCGAGGACAAUCCUUGACCCGGCGAUCCGAUCCGAGCCCUCGGCGGUGCCGCUUCUCGAUUCCUCUUCUCGAUUCGGUGCUCCGAUCCAUUGGUAAGAGCUCUCAAUCUCAAAUCACUAGUUUCGUACUCGAAUCCGUAGUUAUCUAUUAUUUAUAGUUUUUACCUCCGAUCAAUCGUGUAUUCCUCAUUAAAUUUGAUAGUUGGUUAGUUGGUUUCAUUUGUUUUGCUUAGAUUUGCCUUUGGAGAUAACGAUUUAGUUUUCAAAUAGCUUGGAUGAAAUUGAAAGUGUCUAUGUUGAGUGCUCAUUUUGUUCGGUCACUGCGAAUUCAUGUUGGAUGUUCUGUUAAUCAUCUUCUAAUUCAUGUUUGAUGUUUUGUUAAUCAUCUUCUCCUUAAUAAAAUUUUGACCUGACCACAAGGAAGUUCACAUCUUGCUAUUUCUUGGCUAAUCAGACCAUUCAUGAUUUUAUUUUUUAUUUUUUUGGGGGUUCAUAUUUGGAAUGUGUGCCUUUUGUUCCUACCUGUAUUUUUCUAAUAGAAGGAUCCUCUUUAUCAUGUUCCUUUUAUGUUGUUUUACAGUUUUGCACCUUAGAAAAUUUUAUCUGUGCAACUAGUUGUUUCAAAUAUAUGGUUCAAUUAAUGAUUUCUACCUUGACUUGUCUUAACUUAAUGCAGAUGCAUCGAUCCUUGUAAGUAGUUCGAGAGCUUUAUUGUCAUGUUCCCCGAGUACAUCAAGCUUGCAUCUAUGAGUUGCUUUUGUGGGUACAAUUUCGUCUGCUUCUCAUUAUAUUUGUUUUUCUUCUCCUUGAGGCAUCACUUGAAUCUGGUAGUAUAAUUUAAUUGAUAUGUGGCAGAGGAGCGGCUCCAGGAAUCGAAGGACAUCCUCGCCAAGUAUCCUGAUCGAGUGCCGGUGAGCUCGUUUGUUCGAUCUUUCGUUCGUUCAUUUGUCCCCCCCCCCCUUUGUUGUUAAUUAAUCAUAUUUGGAGUUGAUUUUGUAGGAAAAUAGUGCCCGUUCUGUUGUAAAACUUAGUUAUUUGUUUGUCUACUAUGUUGGGAUUAAAAAAAAAGUUGAAAAUAUUUUUGCUUAGAUGUUCGGUGUAAAGAAAAUAAACUUAAAAAAUAUCACUACAAUGCCAUGCUUCAUGUAGAAUUAGUGUUAGGGCUGAUUCACUCAUGAGUAAAUGUAAGCUCUUAAUCCUUUUUUUGACUUACAAAACAAGCUACUUCCAAAAUGCUUAUAAAAAAUACUAUAAGAUACAAAACCUGGGUCGAUAUAACAUUAUCAUUUUUUCUGUCUUAAAAUACAAACAAAUAUGCGAAAAUAAAAUCCCGUGGGUUGUAAAGUUAAAUUUCAAUUCCAAAUCAUAUGCAGCUCAACAUAAAGAGUCAUAUAUUUUAGAAACAUUUAACAAAACAUCUACUUUCCACUUGUCAUGAGAACCGGUCUAUGUCAAUAUCAAGUUGUUAUAAAGGAGCAGCACAAAAAAGGACAAGAAUACUAAGAUGACACAUUAUCCAAUCUAAAUUCUCACACUAGCUAGUAGAUAACCUCCUUCUAUAGCACUAAUGCACAUAUGCUACAUCAGAGUAAAAGAUCUUUUCUUUUAAAAGCAAAACAUAAAAGAUCUGUCAAAUUUAUUCAUUGGAAAACAUUAUUGGCUAAUUACAAAUCACCUCACGUUCUGUCAUAUUUUUAUAGUUUUGUGCUGCCGUUAGUUUGUGAAUGGAAGACUGGCUUUUCAGAGGGCUUUUUUUGCAUCAGGGGGAAGGUCGAGUGUUGUUGUUUUGGAACAUUAGUUCAGGUACAAUUUGCGACACGGACCCUUACAAUACUUUUAUUUAAGUCAUGAUUUUUGUUUCCAUUUCUAACAAGAAUGUUUUAUUUGUAUAGAUCUGGGCAUGGGACCACCUGCACAUUGGCCGCCCUGAGGUAGUAGGAGCGCAGCCUGAGCUUGUCGACAUGCCACUAGGGUAUCGGUAAGUAUUUUUUCAUUUUAAGUUUUCUAUAUACUAUUUAUUCAUAACUAAUAUGAUAUAAAUGAAUCAGGUAGAAUACCAGGCUGGCUUUUCGGGACAAUGUUAGGACUACCGACAUUGAGUUUUAUCAUGAUCAGCUGGAUCAGCAGUUAGAGUCUUAGGUAAAUAAAAGUUACUCAAUCUGUCGAAUUUUGUAUUCAAUGCUAAUCUACUUAUUUUAUGGAUUGAAAUUUUGUUUUAGUUUGAAUUCUAGGAGGUCAGUACAGUAGUUUAAGGAACAAACAUAGAGGCAACUAGUCCAAAAACUACAGGAAGAUAUGGUUCUGACGUGAUAUGGAACUAGUUCAAAAACUGCAUCAAGUCAACAAAAUAUGGUUUCAUUAUUAAGUGAUUUGACGUGUAUGCAACUAAUUCAAGUACUUGAGUAAUAAAGAAAUCGAAAUUCAAUUAUCAUUCCAUUUUGAAGCCGAAAGCGUCCUUUUGGCUAUAUCUUCUCGUAGGCUCGGCGGAUUGCCGAACCAACUUCGCCAACGUGUUCGCUUUACCUUCAAUUACGUUUGCACGCGAGCAAUUUCAAGUUAGGGUCUCAAUCCUGCAAAAGUGCAUUAUCGAGCUUAGUGAAUACACUUUACUAGUUUCAACUUCCAACUAGUUUCAACUUCGAACUUCAUAUUAACUAGUUUCAACUUCCAACUGCCGAUUGCCAACUAGCUUCAACUUUCAACUAGUUUCAACUAUUUAUGAUAACAUAGUUUCAACUUUCAACUAGUUUCAAGUUCCAACUGCUUAUUAUAUAUAUAUAUAUA